CGGACAUUAAAACUUUCGGUGUGUCGUUAAAAUGCGGCUAGUGGCUUGGACGCUUUAUACAUGUAACUGGGGAAAAUUAAAAUCAAGUAAAAAAUAAUCAAAUUAAGUAACACAUAGCUGUGUCAAGGUAAGCAGAUCGCAAAUCAUACAAAUGAUUGGUUGACUGCUGGCUGUCGAAAAAGCGAGAACGAACAAUUCCGAUAAGAAACAUCCGAGUUAAAGCACCGGAAUAGAACUCCGUAUAGUCACUGACCGAAAAUCGCUCGCCUCAAGCUAUUUGCGAAAUUGUCAACCGCACGAAACGAAAGUAAAGUUUGAUAUGAUGCUCUCGACUCGCCUCCAAUUGUAUUUUCGCGAAAAUAAAAUUGCACAAUCCAUGUAGAAUGAGAAUAAUGUAUCAACAACAAGAUACUUAUUAAAUAUUGUUGGUAGAUCGGAGUCGAUUAAAAAGCAAUAAUAUUUUAUAACACAAUUUUGUAAUGAUUAGUUUAAAUAUAGUGUUUACUAACUCCUGAUAUUUGCAAA